CUAUCAAUAGGUCAAACCUGUUCCUUCUUGUCAAGCCACGACUACAUGCUUUAAAAGCACUGACGGAGAAGACAAACUGAAACUUUGAAGCUUUCUUCUUUGGAAUUAUCAUCGCUAUAAAAAUGGCUCAAGAUCUUGCUGCCACUGUUGUCGCACAUGAGUUGCGUCAAAUCGGAGACACGCUCUACUGGAGAUACAAACUGCUGGAAAUACUGAUCAAGAACUACGAGACUGUCAGUAAAAUCAGGUGAAACGUGCCAUCAAAGUGAAAGAGGGAUAUUGGAUUUUCGCUAAACUGGAAGGCGUUCACAGCCAAAGUAGAAGAGUCUUGGAUACGGACUCAUCACUGUUGGCAAAAUGGUGACUCUCAAGUGGGAUGUAAGCUUGUGGAAACACCCUGAUGGAGAUGCUGAAUAUUGACUCAGAGGACUGCUGUCAUAUUCAAAACUGGAGCUCUGCAAAGCCAUAUGUGGGUCCAUCCGUUCUGACCCAUGGGAACAAAAGUGGAACGCCUGAAUGGAAGCUGUCUGCUGAACGAUGCUGACUGUCACAUGUAUUCUGUACAUACUACUGUAUAUGUGGGCAUAUAUGCAUGUUAUUCUCUAUAAGCUUGUCAAAUUUAUGUCAACUGGAGAAUUGAGGCGGUGGAGGAAAUGAUACUUACGUGUAUUAAGUCUUCAAAACUGUCUUUGUAAUGGGAUAAUCAUUGUUGCUAAUAAAUAGUACAUGUAUAUUCA